rnacentral:rRNA from 1 species
UGGGGAAUUUUGGACAAUGGGCGAAAGCCUGAUCCAGCAAUGCCGCGUGUGUGAAGAAGGCCUUCGGGUUGUAAAGCACUUUUGUCCGGAAAGAAAUCCUUGGCUCUAAUACAGUCGGGGGAUGACGGUACCGGAAGAAUAAGCACCGGCUAACUACGUGCCAGCAGCCGCGGUAAUACGUAGGGUGCAAGCGUUAAUCGGAAUUACUGGGCGUAAAGCGUGCGCAGGCGGUUUGCUAAGACCGAUGUGAAAUCCCCGGGCUCAACCUGGGAACUGCAUUGGUGACUGGCAGGCUAGAGUAUGGCAGAGGGGGGUAGAAUUCCACGUGUAGCAGUGAAAUGCGUAGAGAUGUGGAGGAAUACCGAUGGCGAAGGCAGCCCCCUGGGCCAAUACUGACGCUCAUGCACGAAAGCGUGGGGAGCAAACAGGAUUAGAUACCCUGGUAGUCCAGCGCCCUAAACGAUGUCAACUAGUUGUUGGGGAUUCAUUUCCUUAGUAACGUAGCUAACGCGUGAAGUUGACCGCCUGGGGAGUACGGUCGCAAGAUUAAAACUCAAAUGAAUUGACGGGGUCAUA